rnacentral:lncRNA from 1 species
CACAUUUUUCACCAUCACAAGAGAGAAAUGGUGUUGUUGCUGGCUCUGCUGACAGCUUGCCACCGCGCUCAGAGCAAGGCACAGAGGCAUCUUUGGCACCGAGUGGCCUUGAGCUCCUGCUCGCAGCUGUGGACUGCAUUGAUGGCACUGUGCCCUCUUGCGCAACAAAGUCUCCAUUCCAGGAGGACACACAUAAUGUUACCUG